CUUGGAACAAAAGGGUCAGACAAAGGAAUAGUUCUCACAUUCCUUUAAUUCCCUGCAUGGCUCUCCUAUACACAGUUCUGGCAGUGAUUUAGAGUUUGACAGCAAGCCCCUCUCAUUGGCUUGGGCUGAGAGUUUGGGGGAAACCUUAUUUGCAUGUGAGAGGGCUUCGUGCUGUUCUUAAGUGGCUGAUAGCCACGCCUCUCUGGUGGGGGUUGUGGAGGAGGGUCCAGGAGCCAUGAGAGAACUUCCAUCCCAUGUAAGUGAAUUGUCACUACCGGGUCCCGGGGUUCAAGAUCUAGCCUCGACUGGAAACCAGGCUGUCUGUACAUAGCCCAUUGCCCCACAUUCAAGAAUAAGGUUUAGGCCCAGGCCCACAUCACUCCUUUCUUUAGGCCCAGGCUGCUUCAAGAGUCAGGCUGCUUCAUGAGUCAGGCAUAGGCUUGCAUGUCUUGCAUUGGGCCCAGGCCUCUUUAAAUUUCAGGGAUAGUCUCAGGCCCACAUCACUUCUUGCUUUGGACACGCCUCUUCAAGCCUCAUGGAUAGGCCCAGGCCCUCAUCACUUCUUGCAUAAGGGCCCAGGCCCUCAUCUUUUUUGCUUUUGGUCCGGUCCUCUUCAAUGUUCAGGAAUAAGCCUGGGCACACAUCACUUCUUUCUUUAGGCCCAGGCCUCUUCAAAGUUCAGGGAGAGGCCCAGGCCCACAUCACUUCUUGCUUUUGGCCCAGGCCUUCAUCUUUUUUACUUUUGGUCCAGGCCUCUUGAAUGUUCAGGAAUAGGCCUGGGGACAUAUCACUACUUUCUUUAGGCCUGGGCCUCUUCAAGGGUCAGGCAUAAGCCCAGGCCCUCUUCACAUCUUGCAUUGGUCCCAGGCCUCUUUAAAUUUCAGGGAUAGACCCAGGCCCACAUCACUUCUUGCUUUUGGCCUGGGGUCUCUUCAAGGGUCAGGGAUGGGCCCAUGCCCACUUCAUAUUUUGCCUUUGGCCCAGGCCUCUUCAAGGGUCAGGGAUAGGCCCAGGCCAAAAAACAAAAAGUGAUGUGCCUUUCCUUCUCUUCCCACUUUCCCCCUUUCCCCCUCCCCCCUUUCCCAGACACUUGAAGAGGCCCAGGCCUAAAGCAAGAAGUGAAAGGGGCCUGGGCCUAUCCCUGAAGUUUCCUUUUUCCUUUCCUUCCCUUCCCCUCCCCCUUCCCCCUCCCCCUUCCCCCCUCCCCCUUCCCCCUUCCCCCUUCCCCCUUUCCCCUUUUCCCUUUCCCCAGGCCUCUCAAAGGUAAGUAGAUGACCAUGCCCACAUCACUUCUUGCUUUUGGCCCAGGCCUCUUCAAUCAAGGGUCAGGGAUAGGCCCAGACCCUCAUCACUUCUUUCUUUAGGCCCGGACCUCUUCAAGGGUCUGACAUAGGCCCAGGCCCUCUUCUCGUUUUGCAUUAGGCCCAGGCCACUUUAAAUUUUAGGAAUAGGCACAGGCCCACAUCACUCCUUGCUUUUGGCCCGGGAUCUUCAAUGUUCAGGAAUAGGCCUGGGCACAUAUCGCUUCUUUCUUUAGGCCUAGACCUCUUUAAGUGUUGGGGAUAGGCCAAUGCCCCCAUCAUUUCUUCCUUUUGUCCCUUUUGUCUUCAAGGGUCAGGCAUAGGCCCAGGCCCUCUUCACUUCUUGUGUUGAGCCCAGGCCUCUUUAACUGUCAGGGAUAGGCCCAGGCCUACAUCACUUCUUGCUUUAGGCCCGGGCCUCUUCAAACUUUAGGGAUAGGACCAGGCACUUUAACUUCUUUCUUGUGGCCCGGGCCUCUUCAUAUGUCAGGGAUAGGCCUAGGCCCACAUCUCUUCUUCUUUUUGGCCUGGGCCUCUUCAAGGGUCAGGGUUAGGCCCAGGCCCUCAUCUUUUAUUUACUUUGGCCUGGGCCUCUUUAAUGUUCAGGGAUAGGCCCGGGAACAUAAAACUUUUUUCUUUAGGCCUGGGCCUCUUCAAACUUCAGGGAUAGGAUCAGGCACUUUUAACUUCUCUCUUGUGGCCCGGGCCUCUUCAUAUGUCAGGGAUAGGCCUCUUCAUGGAUCGGGAGGAUAGGCCAAUACCCAUAUCACUUCUUCCAUUUGUCCCAAGGCUCUUCUAGGGUCAGGCAUAUUACAGGGAUAGCCCCAGGCCCACAUCACUUCUUGCCUUUGGCUCAGUCCCUCAUUUUUUUGCUUUUUGUCUGGGCCUCUUCAAAGGUCAGGCAUAGGCCCAGACCCUCUUCAUAACUUGUAUUGUGCCCAGGCCUCUUUAAAUUUCAGGGAUAGGCCCAGGCCCACAUCACAUUUUGCUUUUAGCCCCAGCCUCUUCAAGGGUCAGGGUUAGGUCCAGGCCCACAUUAUUUUUUGUUUUUCAGCCCGGCCCUCUUCAAUUGUCUGGGAUAAGCCCAGGCCCUCAUCAAUUCUUGCUUUUGGCCUGAGCCUCUCAAAGUUAGGUAUAGGCCCAGCCCACAUUACUUCUUUCUUUAUGCUAGGUCUCUUCAAAGGUCAGGGAUUUGCCCAGGUCAACAUCACUUCUUGCUUUUGUUCCAGGCCUCUUCAAGGUUCAGGGACAGGCCCAGGCCCACAUCACUUUUUUUGCUUUUGGCCUGGGCCCUCUUCUGGGGCAGGGUUAGGCCUAGGCCCAUAUCUCUAUUUGGUUUGGACCUGACUUCCUUCCAGGUCAGAUUUUCCCAUUGCCCACACUCUUUUUUUUUUCCUGUUUGUUUGGCCAGGCCUCUUUCUUUUCAGUCCUACUUAUCUAGGUCCAGAAAACCUCACUAUCAGGGUAUAUGAUUCUUUUUAUGUUUGAAGUACUGGAUUCUUUUGAGUUCAAAUUUGUCCAAAGCUUCUUUGUUUUUAGCCUUGAUCUUGGUCAAUAUUUUGGGGAAAAAGGAGACAGAUAUUGAUUGAUAUAUUUAGUAUUCUUCUCUGGCAUCUCAAAUACACUCAGAUCAUCAUUGACCUAUCCACUAGGAAACAUGCUCAGACUUUACACUCAUAGCUUACGUACAGUCCAGGUAAAACACAUUAUACACUAUACAAUUAGAAAGAUUAAUAAAAAAAGAUCCCUGUUGCAUAGCUGUCCAUGCCUGUGGUAGAGAGUACCCAUGAACUCAUGUGGAAAGAUUGUUGCUUCUAAGUUGUGAGAGCCACAGGAGAGUCUCACCAAGGCCCCAUGAUGCAUAACCCUCCUUCCGGAGGUCUCAUGACUUAAUAUCACAGAAAGUUAGGGGAAACAAUAGAGGUUAGUCCUCCAAAUGUCUUGCUAAGGCACUGAAGGCUGUGCAGAUCUUCACAAUUUCCUAUAUGGGAUGGGUUUUCUUUCUAUGUGUUGUACAUGGCCAUGCUCUGUGAGGAUAUUCCUCUAGUCCUUGCUAUUACCACGUCUGUCCUGUCCAUCAAAAGCCCUCAGAUACUGAACUGUGCCUUAGUCACCCCUUUCACAAAAAGCCCUCUGUCAAGUACAUGUCCUGAUGUGAGAUCAGGUCUUUACCCAAAGAUUUUCCUACAUUGACUUACCUAGAAAGGAUCUCUGCCACCUUCUCCUAUCAUGGACUCUGCUGCCCUCAGAACUAGGGUACACCCACAACCAUGACAGUGACCCCUUCUGUGAGGUCACAGAGGCCAAGCCUCACUCUUUUUAGGAAAGCUCAAAGGGUGUCCAGGCACACAGGUGCCUUUUGGACUGGUAUCAAAUUGAUUGAAAUUUUGGCCUCUAACCUGUCUCUUCACCACCUUUAAACACAACUUGUAGUAAGAUUUCCCAGCAAGCAGCAUUUCAGGAAGUUUCCCUCCCUGGCCUCAUCAUGAUAGUCGAUGACUUCUGAGAAUGUCACUAAAGAAACAACUGAUAUGAUCCUACACACACACACACACACACACACACACACACACACACACACACACAUUCAUUCACAAAAACAUUAACAGCCAUAAAUAUAAAUAUGUUAAGUAGAUGAAGAAGGGAUGUGAUAUCAAUGUCUGUGGCCAUGCAGGAAAGGGCCUUUGAGUUGAAAAUAAAGAUUUCUAGGAAGGUUCAUGUUUAAAAGAAAACACAGAGAAGGUCCUGGGAAAGCACUUCCUUAUGAACCUGUGUAGCAUAUGUUCCCUGAAAUAAUGACAUAGGGGGCAGUGUAAGUAGUUGAUCACUUGCGUGAGUUUUGAGUCUUAAAAGCAGGCACUGACUUGACAGUUUCUUCCAGAGGCCUCCCUUCCUGGCACGUGUAUGGUGUCUUCUUCCUGAGUCUAUGUAUAGCAUGCCAUUCGGCAGGCACCCUUGUAUUUACUGCUGUUCUGGCUUAACAGAACUCCUGUUGUGUUAAAUAAGGAACACCUCAAGAACUUCACAGAGCCCCUGUCACUGCCAUUCAGGUCCUUGCUCCUGCACUUUCCUGCAUGCCUUUAUACCUGAAGGCACAUGUACUCCCAUAUAUACACUCCCAGACCAUGCACACUAAACAUACAAUUUAAAUAUAAUUAUGUAUAGUGUGCAGGGUUAGGUAGAGUGCUAGAAUAAUAUGUCCUGUUUGUGGGGCAAUGGGCUAUACACAGACAGUCUGGUCUCCAGUCAAGCUGAGGUCUGAACUCUGAGACCCAGUGGUGAUAAUUCACCUACAUGGGACGGAAGGAGUUCUCUCAUGUCUCCUGGAACUAUGGCUCCUGUCAAAGUUACCUUCCCCUCAGCCCCCACAGGAGAAGCAUGGUUAGUAGUCAUAUAGGCAAUGUCCCAAGCUUCUGACCUUCAGGCUAGACUCCUCCCCAGUUACCUAGCAACAGUAAAGAUAACAGCAUACCAUAAAAAGGGCUGUUUGACCUCUCCUCACUCUCUCACUCCUCUUGCUCUUAAUCCCCUUACUAUCCUCUCUCAUUUCCUCUCUUUUCGUCUCUCUCCCUCUUACCCUCUAGCUCUUAAACCAUAGACUAUCUCUGCUCAUCAAGGCCCACUGCACAGACUCUCACCUGUGUGGGAACCUCUCUCCCUCAGCCCUCACUCCCAUAACCCCGGGGCUACAGGGUGUCAUUCCAGGGCUCCCGGUUGGGGGCUGCCCCUUGUCCGCCCCCCAUUGAGUGGGGUCAGUGGCUUAGAUGCCUACCCGGGGCUGAGUGGAAAGCGUCUGGCAGCCCUCCCAUGUCUGCUUGCCCAGAGCAUAGGUGGAACUCUGGCUGGACGUGGGCUAUCCUCCCUCCCCCUCUUCCCCAGCCUCCCUUUUAGUUCCCACACCUGUUGAGUACCUGCUUUCGGUCAUGCUGGAGACAACCCCUGGACAUACAAGACAAGAUUAUUACUGUGAAGAAGCAAAGUCCCUUCAGAAGCCCAGACAGUAGGACUCUGUACCAUCUCCUACCUGCCCUGGACACAAUGGGCUGCCAUAGCUGAUAGUUGUCCAUGGCUUAGGGCACAACAGCAGAGCUUCAUCCUGCACUAGUCUGGCGCCUGGAGUCUUUCCAUGUGGUACAAGCUGGGUGUGACCAUUCCCUAGGCUUAUUGGUGUUGUUUCCCUGAGUACUUGUUUGGCAAGUUCUUUAGCAUGUUCAUGUGCAUAUGCACAAACACACACACACACACCUGCUAAUACUUACUGCAACAGUUUCUACUGCUUUAGCACAGGCCCUGCUAAAGGUCACUUCAAGGACCACAUUAGGCUUCAUACACUUCCUCACUCCUAUCUCCCAGUAUAGCACACUGAGGUUUAGGCAGGACUUCAUCAUGGAGAUCUGUAUAUAUUCUCCCAACAUACAGCCCAACAAACCUGCAGUUCCUUCCAGAUCCCAGCCCAUCCCUGAGCUCCCUCACACCAACACCACAGCCUUUAACCAUGGCAACAGGCUAUAUGAGGUAACAGAGCUGACCACACCUCUCUCCAGCUUCUUCCCAUGUGCCUAGAUGUAACAUGGGGAACGACCAUGCUUUCUCUCUUAACAUAAAGUACCCCGACUUGUGUAACUACAAGUGGUGAGCUGUAGGUGUUGUCUCCCUGAGUACUUGUUUGGCAAGGUCUUUAGCAUGCGCAUAUGCACACACACACACACACACACACACACACACACACACACACCUUGCUGAUACAGCAACUGUUUAUACAUAUUUGUAGCAAGAUAUGUGGCAUAAUUCCAUGUCCUCCUCAUGCACUUUCACACAUAUGGAGGUGGACCUGCAGACAUGAGCACAUACAUAAGAACAUAUACAACACACCUACAAAGUGAAAAUAUGUAUUUAUAUACAGAAUGAGAGGGGAAGGUGCUGUCAUGGCAUUUCCCGUGAUACUGGCAUUGAUGUUUGACUCAUCGUGGCAGCUCUCUGAGUACACAUGCAAAGAUUGUUACUGCCAGGGACUGAAAUCACCAGGGAAGAUCAGACACCAGUGUCAGGGAUGCUCUGCCUCCUUCCCUGGACAAGCUAUGUAUGAUGGUUAAAUGGUCAAAUGUGGGCAUGGCAAAAGCACUGUUCCGUCCUUCCUGGCCUAGGCUGGGGGCUCAAGUCCAGGUCCAUAUAUAUGUGUGUGUGUGUGUGUGUGUGUGUGUGUGUGUGUGUGUGUGUGUGUGUAUCUUCUUUCCAAGGCCUCUCCUCCUGGUGAGUGAGGGGUUCUUCUUCCUACAGUCUUGAGUGGCCAUUCCCACUACUGUGAGACUUCUGUUUCUAGCUCUCCUUAGCUCUCUUGAAGAAAGUCUUAGAGCUGUCUUCACUCAGAAACAUUUUAAGUUCCUCUCCCUAUUUCUGCCUCCCCCGCUUAAGACCCCAGUGAAGAAGUGCCUUGCACUGAGUGAGCUACUCACGUGAUGAAUUUCAGGUAGUCCAUCCCAGAAAACAGCCCAAGCCUAGGCAGACACACGUGCUCAGUGUGAAUCCCAGACCUCCUUGCUGGACUCUGAGUUAUCCUCAGGCUAAGCACUCUGCAGUUACUAAGGCAGGGAUUUACCCUGUGAUGUCACAGAGGGCUCACUUCAUGGCACUCUGAGAAUCACAAGGGACAUCCGGUGCUCAGUCAUCUCCCAGUUUGGUCCAUCCUGUUCUCUACACAACUGUUUCAAGCAUCUUUGGAAACACUUAGCUUUGGGAAAGUAGCUGAAAGUGUUUCUAGGACACCUCCCUGGGAAUCUCCUACAAGCAUCUCCUGUCAGCCCUCCAUCUUCCCACAUUACCUACAUCCUUGAGAGGAGAAACACAGUGGAUAGCACUGCUUCCUCAGCUCAAGUGUCUGUCCUCAUCAUCUCAGAUCCUCUAUUGCCAUCAUGGUUUAUUGCUGCCCCUCAGCCCGCAGGGUGCCAUCGUCU
rnacentral:lncRNA from 1 species